AUUGAACGCUGGCGGAAUGCUUUACACAUGCAAGUCGAACGGCAGCACGGGUGCUUGCACCUGGUGGCGAGUGGCGAACGGGUGAGCAAUACAUCAGAACGUACCCAGUCGUGGGGGAUAACGUAGCGAAAGUUACGCUAAUACCGCAUACGUCCUGAGGGAGAAAGCGGGGGACCGUAAGGCCGCGCGCGAUUGGAGCGGCCGAUGGCGGAUUAGCUAGUUGGUGGGGUAAAGGCCUACCAAGUCGACGAUCCGUAGCGGGUCUGAGAGGACGGCCCGCCACACUGGAACUGAGACACGGUCCAGACUCCUACGGGGGGGAGCAGUGGGGAAUUUUGGACAAUGGGCGAAAGCCUGAUCCAGCCAUUCCUAGUGAGUGAAGAAGGCCUUCGGGUUGUAAAGCUCUUUCGGCAGGGAAGAAACGGCUUGGGAUAAUACCCCGGGCUAAGGACGGUACCUGAAGAAGAAGCACCGGCUAACUACGUGCCAGCCGCCGCCGUAA
rnacentral:rRNA from 1 species